CGGCUAACUCUGUUGCCAGCAGCCGCGGUAAUACAGAGGUCCCAAGCGUUGUUCGGAUUCACUGGCGUAAAGGGUGCGUAGGCGGUCGGGUAAGUCUGAUGUGAAAUCUCACAGCUUAACUGUGAAACUGCAUUGGAUACUAUUCCGCUUGAGGUCUGGAGGGGGGACUGGAAUUCUCGGUGUAGCAGUGAAAUGCGUAGAUAUCGAGAGGAACACCAGUAGCGAAGGCGAGUCCCUGGACAGGUCCUGACGCUGAGGCACGAAAGCUAGGGGAGCAAACAGGAUUAGAUACCCUGGUAGUCCUAGCCGUAAACGGUGCUUAUUUGCUGUAAAAGGAAUCGACCCCUUUUGUGGCGUAGCAAACGCGUUAAAUAAGCCGCCUGGGAAGUACGGUCGCAAGAUUAAAACUCAAAGAAAUUGACGGGGGCCUGCACAAGCGGUGGAGUAUGUGGCUUAAUUCGAUGCAACGCGAAGAACCUUACCUGGUCUUGACAUGCAAGUGGUAGAACCAUGAAAGUGGGACGACCCCGCAAGGGGAGCUUGCACAGGUGCUGCAUGGCUGUCGUCAGCUCGUGUCGUGAGAUGUUGGGUUAAGUCCCGCAACGAGCGCAACCCCUGUGUCCUGUUGCCACCCGGCCGAGAGGCUGGAGCACUCUGGACAGACUGCCUCGCUUCAACGAGGAGGAAGGUGGGGAUGACGUCAAGUCAGUAUGGCCCUUACGACCAGGGCUGCACACGUACUACAAUGCCCGGCACAAAGGGAAGCGAGACCGCAAGGUGGAGCAAAUCCCCAAAAACCGGGCCCAGUUCAGAUUGUUGUCUGCAACUCGACAGCAUGAAGCUGGAAUCGCUAGUAAUGGCGCAUCAGCUACGGCGCCGUGAAUACGUUCCCAGGCCUUGUACACACCGCCCGUCACAUCAUGAAAGCCGUUUGUACCCGAAGUCGCCCCUUAAAAGGUGCCGAAGGUAUGGAUGGUGAUUGGGAUGAAGUCGUAACAAGGUAGCCGUA
rnacentral:rRNA from 1 species